rnacentral:rRNA from 1 species
UGCCAGCCGCCGCGGUAAUACGUAGGGUGCAAGCGUUGUUCGGAAUCAUUGGGCGUAAAGCGCGUGUAGGCGGCCAAUUAAGUCUGAUGUGAAAGCCCGGGGCUUAACUCCGGAAGUGCAUUGGAUACUGGUUGGCUAGAGGGCGAGAGAGGGAAGUGGAAUUCCUGGUGUAGGGGUGAAAUCCGUAGAUAUCAGGAGGAACAUCAGAGGCGAAGGCGGCUUCCUGGCUCGUUACUGACGCUGAGGUGCGAAAGUGUGGGGAGCAAACAGGAUUAGAUA